UGGGGAAUUUUGGACAAUGGGCGCAAGCCUGAUCCAGCCAUGCCGCGUGCGGGAAGAAGGCCUUCGGGUUGUAAACCGCUUUUGUCAGGGAAGAAAUCUUCUGAGUUAAUACCUCGGGAGGAUGACGGUACCUGAAGAAUAAGCACCGGCUAACUACGUGCCAGCAGCCGCGGUAAUACGUAGGGUGCAAGCGUUAAUCGGAAUUACUGGGCGUAAAGCGUGCGCAGGCGGUUUUGUAAGACAGAGGUGAAAUCCCCGGGCUCAACCUGGGAACUGCCUUUGUGACUGCAAGGCUUGAGUGCGGCAGAGGGGGACGGAAUUCCGCGUGUAGCAGUGAAAUGCGUAGAUAUGCGGAGGAACACCGAUGGCGAAGGCAAUCCCCUGGGCCUGCACUGACGCUCAUGCACGAAAGCGUGGGGAGCAAAACAGGAUUAGAUAGCCCUGGUAGUCCACGCCCUAAAACGAUGUUAACUGGUUGUUGGGAAGGUUCCUUCUCAGUAACGUAGCUAACGCGUGAAGUUGACCGCCUGGGGAGUACGGCCGCAAGGUUGAAACUAAA
rnacentral:rRNA from 1 species